rnacentral:tRNA from 1 species
GCGCCUGUAGCUCAGUGGAUAGAGCGUUGCCCUCCGGAGGCAAAAGUCAGGAGUUCGAAUCUCUUCAGGCGCG